rnacentral:rRNA from 1 species
UACGUAGGGUGCGAGCGUUUGUCCGGAAUUAUUGGGCGUAAAGGGCUCGUAGGCGGUUUGUCGCGUCGGGAGUGAAAACCCAGGGCUUAACCCUGGGCUGGCUUUCGAUACGGGCAGACUAGAGGUAUGCAGGGGGAGAACGGAAUUCCUGGUGUAGCGGUGAAAUGCGCAGAUAUCAGGAGGAACACCGGUGGCGAAGGCGGUUCUCUGGGCAUUACCUGACGCUGAGGAGCGAAAGUGUGGGGAGCGAACAGG